CUAUCUAUCUAUCUAUCUAUCUAUCUAUCUAUCUAUCUAUCUAUCUAUACCGUGCGGAUAAAUUUGAAGGAAGUCUGAUAGUCAAAAGGAAAUAAAAUAACAUUGACUGAAAAGUAAACGUAACUACAAAACACCCUGACAACCUUAAUUUAAACGACCUGUUUACAUAACCCCGCGAGUCGUCUCGCCUGCUAUCAUCUCCCCUCCGACUAAUUUUAGUAUAAAAAUUUACAUGGCGGCAUACGAGAAACCGAGACCAUAGGUAGGCGGGAUGAAAAAAUGUUCCAUAUGAACACGCCAGCCCGCUUACCGGGAUGAGGUCAAGAAACGAAAUAAUUUUUACUGAGUGUC